UGUACACACAAUGUGGCAAACCAGCGAACUGUUAUUGUCCCCGGAGGGACCUCACCCGGAGGUGAGGUCGUUGAUGGCUUGGAUCGGCCGAGAGGUCGGCCCGUGGGCGAGGCGGGGUUCCUUGCUGUUGGCUGGAGUGUCCCAUACUUGCGGUUCCGGUSGGCAGAGGUUGGYAGACCCCCUCUCAUGAGGGGGAGCAGCUGCUGUCUAUCAGGGUCGGGCUCUCCCCUCCCCCUUUGUCCCCCCRGCUCUGGGAGGCUUUGGGGCUAUUUUUACACAAGCACAAUGAGGAACGCGAAUGCAWGGACUGAGCSUGGGGCUCYUGCGUGUUGCCUUUGCGGGNAGCGCAGGGGCCCGAGUCGUAAAGCAGAACAAACGACUCUCAGCAACGGAUAUCUUGGCUCUUGCAACGAUGAAGAACGCAGCGAAAUGCGAUACCUAGUGUGAAUUGCAGAAUUCCGCGAAUCAUCGAGUCUUUGAACGCAAGUUGCGCCCGAGGCUUGUCCCGAGGGCAUGCCUGCCUGAGCGUCACUGCACUCCCACCUGGAAAGUUGUUCCAGCGUGGAACUGGCCGUCCGGGACCUGGCGUGAAGCUGUGGGUCGUGGUCGGCUGAAAUGGAGCGAUCUGGACGCAGCCGGGGAGAGAGGCUGCGAGAAGGUGAUCCGUCUCUGUUGAGCGGAGUUGGACAGCGCCUCUCUCCCGCUUUGGUGGUCCGGUCGAGGAUGAGAAGCACAGCUCGGACCUCAGAUCAGGCAAGAUUACCCGCUGAGUU
rnacentral:rRNA from 1 species